rnacentral:rRNA from 1 species
AGAGUUUGAUCCUGGCUCAGGACGAACGCUGGCGGCGUGCCUAACACAUGCAAGUCGAACGGGGUCCAUGAGAGCUUGCUCUCGGAAGACCUAGUGGCGAACGGGUGAGUAACACGUGAGAAACCUGCCUUGGAGUGGGGAAUAACUCGAGGAAACUCGAGCUAAUACCGCAUACCUUCUCUUGACCGCAUGGUCAGUUGAAGAAAGAAUUUCGCUCCAAGAGGGUCUCGCGGCCUAUCAGUUUGUUGGUGGGGUAACGGCCUACCAAGACUACGACGGGUAGCUGGUUGGAGAGAACGAUCAGCCACACUGGAACUGAGACACGGUCCAGACUCCUACGGGAGGCAGCAGUGGGGAAUCUUGCGCAAUGGGCGAAAGCCUGACGCAGCAACGCCGCGUGCGGGAUGAAGGCCUUCGUGGUUGUAAACCGCUUUCAGCAGGGACGAAAAUGACGGUACCUGCAGAAGAAGCCCCGGCUAACUACGUGCCAGCAGCCGCGGUAAUACGUAGGGGGCAAGCGUUGUCCGGAAUCAUUGGGCGUAAAGAGCUCGUAGGCGGUUCAGUAAGUCAGGUGUGAAAGCUCCGAGCUCAACUCGGAGAGGCCACCUGAUACUGCUGUGACUAGAAUCCAGUAGGGGAGUGUGGAACUCCUGGUGUAGCGGUGAAAUGCGCAGAUAUCAGGAAGAACACCAGCGGCGAAGGCGGCACUCUGGGCUGGAAUUGACGCUG